GCAGCCGCGGUAAUUCCAGCUCCAAUAUCUUAUAUUAAAGUUGUUGCAGUUAAAAAGCUCGUAGUUGAAUUUCGGGAUCAAUAUAUCGGUCGUGCCUUCGGUAUGUACUGGUAUUAUUGGUUUCUCCUUUCUGACAAACUAUGAUGUCAUUAAUUUGGUGUCAUGGGGAAUCAGGACUGUUACUUUGAAAAAAUUAGAGUGUUUAAAGCAGGCACACGCUUGAAUACAUUAGCAUGGAAUAAUGAAAUAGGACGUUUGACCCUAUUUUGCUGGUUUCUAGGAUCGACGUAAUGAUUAAUAGGGAUAGUUGGG
rnacentral:rRNA from 1 species